UGCAUGUCAUUACAUGUUUUUUAAAAUAAAGAGAACCAAAGUGUAAAUUGUGGACCUGUUUGUCAAAAUGAGUAUUGGUACAUUAUUUGUGACAACUCUCACAGUGCAUGGUAUGGUUGUUUUUUUCUUUUGUUUGGAAGAGAGGGGUUGUUUAUUUCUAGACAUGGUUUCUCUUUGUAGCCUUGACUGUCCUGGAACUUGCUCUAAAGACCAAGCUUGCCUCGAACUCAAGAGAUCCGCCUGCUUCUGCCUCCCAAGUGCUGGGAUUAGAGGUGUGCAAUGCCACAACCCCACUAGAUUAUUUUAUAAUUUAGUUUAUUCCUUGGUCACCAAUUAAGUAUUGUCGCUCUUCAUAGCUUAUUUCUCAAAAGUUCUUUAGAGCAUAUAGCUAUAUUUGUACUUAAUCAGUAAAGGGCUCACAAACAGUGGAAGGAAGAACUAGAACUUUAGUGAUAACUGGUUCGGAAGUGCAGUUUCGUUGUUGUUUUUUUGGUUUACCCACUCAUACAUUCUUGACCUGUAUGUAUUAGUCACCAAUGGUCCCUAUAAAAAGUUCCUUUUAGGGGCUGGGGAUUUAGCUCAGUGGUAGAGCGCUUACCUAGGAAGCGCAAGGCCCUGGGUUCGGUCCCCAGCUCCGAAAAAAACCAAAAAAAAAAAAAA
rnacentral:lncRNA from 1 species